UAAUACGAAGGGCCCGAGCGUUGCGCGGAAUCACUGGGCUUAAAGCGUACGUAGGCGGACAGACAGGCGUCUUGUGAAAUCCCUCGGCUCAACCGAGGAAUUGCUCGGCGAACCGUCUGUCUUGAGGCAAGUAGGGGCUGUCGGAACGAUAGGUGGAGUGGUGAAAUGCGUUGAUAUCUAUCGGAACGCCGAAGGAGAAAUCAGGCAGCUGGGCUUGUCCUGACGCUGAGGUACGAAAGCGUGGGGAGCGAACGGGAUUAGAUACCCCGGUAGUCCACGCCGUAAACGAUGUGCACUAGAUCGAGGGGGUUCUGACACCGCUCUCGGUCGAAGCGAAAGUGUUAAGUGCACCGCCUGGGGAGUACGGUCGCAAGGCUA
rnacentral:rRNA from 1 species